UACGUAGGUGGCGAGCGUUGUCCGGAAUUACUGGGUGUAAAGGGCGUGUAGGCGGGGAUGUAAGUCAGAUGUGAAAUACCAUGGCUCAACUGUGGGGCUGCAUCUGAAACUAUGUUUCUUGAGUGCUGGAGAGGAAAGCGGAAUUCCUAGUGUAGCGGUGAAAUGCGUAGAUAUUAGGAGGAACACCAGUGGCGAAGGCGGCUUUCUGGACAGUAACUGACGCUGAGGCGCGAAAGCGUGGGGAGCGAACAGG
rnacentral:rRNA from 1 species